rnacentral:lncRNA from 1 species
CAGGCCGCCAGCCACGAGGGGCCACGGCACUCGGCCUUGCUCGGAGCGGGGCGGGGGCGUCCUGGGGGCGCGGCCGGGCGCAGGUGUGUCAGGGACAGAGUGCACAGGGGACGGGGUGGGCCAGGCGUGCGCUCCAGCUGGGGGGUCGCAGGGCGGCUGGCAGAGGAGCCCGGAGCCCUCGGCUGUGGCUGCUGUUCCUUUUCUCGCUGAACAAAACGUGAUAAGGAAGUUCCCAGAGUCCUGAGAUCGAGUCCCACAUCGGGCUCCCUGCAGGGAGCCUGCUUCUCCCUCUGCCAAUCUCUCUGUCUCUCUCUCUGGGUCUCUCAUGAAUAAAUUAAUAAAAACUUAAAAAAAAAAACUUAAAAAAAAAAAAAGGAAGGAGCCCUUGGCUUUUGCUCCCCAGGGAACGUGGAUACUCUCUGGUCACUUGCCUGUCCUAGCCCACAUCUAGCAGGGCAGCUUUUCUUCUUCUGACAGGUGGGGCCCUGAUGCCUUGUCUGCCCCGGGGGUCCCGGACGCCUCCCCGCCCUGGGCUGGGGUCCUUGGCACACACAGCGGGUGGUGAGCCUCCCGACUGCAGGCGGACGAGCUGGCAGCUUUGCAGGAUCUCCAGUCUCCGUUGUAACCACCCCACUUGGACGUGUAGCAGGAGAGAAGCCCCAUCUGCAAACAAAGCCACCGGCUGCAAACAGUGCUGUUUACUAGAGUCCCAGUAAAACUUUACUGAGACGAAGAGAUGGCAGGCCACAUGUGGCCAGCCGUCGUUUGAUGAAUGGAGCUAAAGACGAUAUAUUUUAAAUAUUCUUCACUUACAAAAACAAAAAUUCAGUAAUGAAAGGAGCUGCCCAUUCCUGCAGUGGACACUGUUAGUGCUAAUGAAGACUUCUCCACCCUCCUACCCCCCGCCUUGAAGCUGGGGUGGUUGGGAAACUUUGGGUAACGAGCCAUGGACAGAAGUGACAUGUGUCACGGACUGCACCGUCUACCACCACCAUCACCCCCCCGAACAGUGUGGUCGCAUGCCAUGGGCCUCUUCUGUCGCAGAGGCGGGGGUGGCAGCGGAAGGGGCAGGGCCCACGGAUCGCUGCGGGGGCCGCGGGGAAGCCGGGACUCGCGGCUGCAGCAGAUGCUGUGGAAAUGCUGGAGUCAAGAAAUUCGUUUUUGACAUGUCAACCUUGAGAUGCCUCUGAGACAUUCCAAUGCAGGCGUCAGAAAGGCACUUGGAAAUACGAGCUUAUUUUAGAAAUUGGAAACCGGACUGCUGGCAUCUUUGGUUUAACGUGCAUAGAGUCUUUAACAG